rnacentral:sRNA from 2 species
UGAACGUGAAGGAUAACGUUGCGUCAGCAACGGCCCGUAGGGCGAGGCGAAGCCGAGUCAUCCUGCACGACCCACCA